UACGGAGGUCUCAAGCGUUGUUCGGAUUCAUUGGGCGUAAAGGGCGUGUAGGCGGCUGGAUAAGUGGGAUGUUAAAUCCCCCGGCUCAACCGGGGACCUGCAUCUCAUACUGUUCAGCUCGAGCACAUCAGAGGAGACUGGAAUUCCCGGUGUAGCGGUGAAAUGCGUAGAUAUCAGGAGGAAUACCGAUGGCGAAGGCAGGUCUCUGGGCUGACACUGACGCUCAUGCACGAAAGCGUGGGGAGCAAACAGG
rnacentral:rRNA from 1 species